rnacentral:rRNA from 1 species
UACAGAGACUGCAAGCGUUAUUCGGAUUCACUGGGCUUAAAGGGUGCGCAGGCGGCCAAGUGUGUCAGGCGUGAAAUCCCGAGGCUCAACCCCGGAACUGCGCCUGAAACUACUUGGCUAGAGUACUGGAGAGGGUAACGGAAUUCACGGUGUAGCAGUGAAAUGCGUAGAGAUCGUGAGGAACACCAGAGGCGAAGGCGGUUAUCUGGACAGUUACUGACGCUCAGGCACGAAAGCGUGGGGAGCAAAAGGG